UACGUAGGGGGCUAGCGUUGUCCGGAUUUAUUGGGCGUAAAGAGCGUGUAGGCGGCCAGGUAGGUCUGCUGUGAAAACUCGAGGCUCAACCUCGAGAUGUCGGCGGAAACCAUCUGGCUAGAGUCCGGAAGAGGAAAGUGGAAUUCCUGGUGUGGCGGUGAAAUGCGCAGAUAUCAGGAAGAACACCCGUGGCGAAGGCGGCUUUCUGGGACGGUACUGACGCUGAGACGCGAAAGCGUGGGGAGCGAACAGG
rnacentral:rRNA from 1 species